UCGCACACGUUUUUUUUUGGUCACCUUUAAGCAGUCGUUUCUCCUCUGCCUCACACUCUCCACCCCGUGCACAGGGCAGCAACGCCAUGACCUCUGUACUAGCCGUCGUCAACGCGCGGCGUGUGUGGCGUGGCGCUUCGGCUCUGCAGCCGACCGUGCCAUCAUCGUACCCGCCGGAGGUUGACGCGCUGCUGGUGGAGGGCGGCCGCAUCAGCUUCAUCGGUAGCACCGCAGAGGUGCAACAGCGCUACGGCGCGCUAGUGGCUGCGCAGCCCGUCGAUGCGGCAGCAGCAACCCCUCAGCCGGUGGUGGGUGGCCGCCCGCGCACGGUGUCGUACCGCGUCAUCGACUGUGAGCACCGCCACGCCGUGUACCCAGGCUUCAUCGACUCCCAUGUGCACUUCCUUGACGGCGGUCGCAUGUUGCUCGCACCUCAGCUGGGCUCUGCGACGAGCAGGACACAGUUCACAGCAAUCGUUCGCGACUUCGUGGAGCACCGCUACAACCGUGAGGAGGGCGGCUGGGUGUACGGCGUCGGCUGGAGCGAGGCGGUGCUGGGCUGCUCGCCGACGAGCGAGUGGCUGGAUGAGGUGAGCACGAAGAUCCACCUGGUCAUGUACAGUAAGGACAUACACUCCGCUGUUAUGAAUACGGUCGCGCUGCGCAGCUGCCACAUCAUCCCUGGUGCCGAAGAUGGCGAGCCGCUAAUCACCUCCGUCGAGGGUGGCGUUAUCGAGCUGAACGAGAACGGUCAGCCGAACGGUGUCCUCCGCGACAACGCCAUCCAGCUGACGAAGCGCUACGCGCCUACCGCUGACACGCCCGCCAAUCAACGCCGUGCGCUCGAGGCCGCUACUGAACACCUUCUCUCGCUCGGUUUCACCUCCGUCUUCUCCAUGAUGUCGACCACGUACACGGACAACGUGAGCGAGAUCGACUUCCUCGCGCAGAUGGAGCGUGAGGGCGCGAUGCGGCUGCGCGUGCGGUACGGCGUGCCGCUGAACGAUGUGGAGCGCUUCAUGGACAAGUUCUACCGCGUGAUGACGACGGACGCGGUGCAGUCGGGCCGCAGCGACGACUUCACGCUGCCCUACCGCUUUACCAUGACGCCGCCGGCGGCCGGCGGCGGCUACCUGCUGCUAGGCGCAGUGAAACUGUUCGCGGACGGGUCGUUGAGCUCGCGCACGGCGGCGAUGAACCGGCCCUAUGGCUACAAUGUGACGACGGAGGGCGACAUCGACAGCGACCUGGAUGACGCGGCGAUCAGUGCGAUCCUGAAAGAGCGGUCGGGCAGGCAGUGCCCGUGCGGACUGUUGACGAUGUCGCGUCUGGAGCUGCAAAGCGCGAUCCGCGUUGCGCACUCGCACGACUUGCAGUGCGUUGUGCACGCGAUUGGCGAUCGCGCUGUAGCAACAGUCAACCGCGCGUUGUGCGCGUCGGCGGACUGGCUGCGUGAGCGCGGGGCGGAGGCAGGAGUUGCGGCGGCGGUUGCGCGCUUCCGCGCCGACCCGCGCUCGCGCGUGGAGCACUGCCAGCACAUGUCCAACAUGACGAAGGAGGUGAAGCGCAUGGCGCAGUACGGCAUCAUCGCGUCCAUGCAGCCCUGUCACCUUCUGUUCGAUGGCGACUACGUGGACAUGCUCCUGGGGCAGCGCCGCAAGGACACGUCGUACAUGUGGGGGACGCUGCUGGCGGCGAAAAUCCGCGUGGACCUGGGCUCCGACUGGCCAGUGGCGCCGGCGGACGUGAACGACGGGCUGCGCGGCGCGGUGACACGCGUGCCGGACGUGAUGGCGGCGCUGGUGGCGGAGGAGGCGCAGUACAGGAGCCAACAGCAGGCGCAGCCGCCGGCCGACAACACAGCCGCCGGCGCGGCAACUGCAGUGCGGCGCUACCACGACACUUGGAAUCCCGCCGAGUGCAUCUCCAUGGAUGCGGCGCUGCGCACUUACACGUACGAGGGCGCGCACGGCAUGUUCAUGGAGAACUACCUCGGCACACUAGAUGUGGGCAAGUAUGCUGACAUCACAGUGUGGACGGCGGACUGGCUGGACGACGAGGAGAUGGAGCAGAUGGCAGGCGUGGAGGGCGCGAACGCACGGUGGUGGCCGCGCCACCAGGAGCCGCACGUCGCCUACACGAUCGUCGGCGGAGUCGUAGAGUACGACCGCUCGCGCUGACGCACCCGCCCCCCCCCCUUCCCCUCUGCUUUCCCUAUUUGCCCACCCCUCCUAAUGCAUAGCCUCGGCGCCUUCGUUUCUCUUUCUCUCGCUUUCGUGUGAUUUGCCCUACCGGUGUGAGUGACGUGUCUCGCUGCCCCUCUCACGUGCGGCACACCCUCCCCUC
rnacentral:misc_RNA from 1 species